AUGAACGCUGGCGGCGUGCCUAAUACAUGCAAGUCGAGCGAACAGACGAGGAGCUUGCUCCUCUGACGUUAGCGGCGGACGGGUGAGUAACACGUGGAUAACCUACCUAUAAGACUGGGAUAACUUCGGGAAACCGGAGCUAAUACCGGAUAAUAUAUUGAACCGCCUGGUUCAAUAGUGAAAGACGGUUUUGCUGUCACUUAUAGAUGGAUCCGCGCCGCAUUAGCUAGUUGGUAAGGUAACGGCUUACCAAGGCAACGAUGCGUAGCCGACCUGAGAGGGUGAUCGGCCACACUGGAACUGAGACACGGUCCAGACUCCUACGGGAGGCAGCAGUAGGGAAUCUUCCGCAAAGGGCGAAAGCCUGACGGAGCAACGCCGCGUGAGUGAUGAAGGUCUUCGGAUCGUAAAACUCUGUUAUUAGGGAAGAACAAAUGUGUAAGUAACUAUGCACGUCUUGACGGUACCUAAUCAGAAAGCCACGGCUAACUACGUG
rnacentral:rRNA from 1 species